rnacentral:rRNA from 1 species
AACGAACGCUGGCGGCAUGCCUAACACAUGCAAGUCGAACGAGACCUUCGGGCCUAGUGGCGCACGGGUGCGUAACGCGUGGGAACCUGCCCUUAGGUUCGGAAUAACUCCCCGAAAGGGGUGCUAAUACCGGAUAAUGUCUUCGGACCAAAGAUUUAUCGCCUUUGGAUGGGCCCGCGUUGGAUUAGCUAGUUGGUAGGGUAAAAGCCUACCAAGGCGACGAUCCAUAGCUGGUCUGAGAGGAUGAUCAGCCACACUGGGACUGAGACACGGCCCAGACUCCUACGGGAGGCAGCAGUGGGGAAUAUUGGACAAUGGGCGAAAGCCUGAUCCAGCAAUGCCGCGUGAGUGAUGAAGGCCUUAGGGUUGUAAAGCUCUUUUACCCGGGAUGAUAAUGACAGUACCGGGAGAAUAAACUCCGGCUAACUCCGU